ACCACUACUACAAAAUUGAGCUUAAGUAACACCCACUGGUAACACUUUAAAAAAAUUUCAUGAUUGUUUGAUUUUUACGUAACCCUUUAGUAACAUUGUGGUAUUAGGUAACAUUUUUUGUAACACUUUAAUAUUAGGUAACACUUUAUUGUAACACUUUGAUAUUAGGUAACACUUUAUUGUAACACUUAAUUUUUUUUUAUCUAUUAUUUUUUUGUAAGAAAACACUUAAUUUAAUAUGCUCAAUUUUUUUUUAACUAAAAUCAACCCUCACAGUCACAACCUCACGACUUUCUUCCCCCUCGUAUUUCUCCAACCCUCAAUUAAGCUUUGACCGUCUCUUUACGCUGCACCUCCUUACCUCUGCUUCCACCGCAAUCACCUUCUCAGAAAUUAAAUCAAUCAACCUUUCCAUCGAUUUUCAUUCACCAUUGACAACGAAGCUCGAAAUCAAUGGAGGACAUUAUCUCUCCUUCCGAUAAGCAGGUCAUGGUCUCCAAAUUCCUCGAGAUCGCUGUUGGCCAGAGUGCCGAUACGGUCCGCCAAUUCUUGUAGGUUUUAAUUCCUAUUCUGAAACCAACUGGAUACACCAGUGCUGAUCCUUAUAAAAUGGGAGUGAGAACCAUGAGAUAGAGCAUUGGAAGUUCAGAGACAAUGGAAACAAAUUUUUGUUAAAACAUGC